rnacentral:rRNA from 1 species
GAUGAACGCUGGCGGCGUGCUUAACACAUGCAAGUCGAACGGAAAGGCUCCUGCUUGCAGGGGUACUCGAGUGGCGAACGGGUGAGUAACACGUGGGUGAUCUGCCCUGCACUUCGGGAUAAGCCUGGGAAACUGGGUCUAAUACCGGAUAGGACCACAUUUUGGAUGGUGUGGUGGAAAGUUUUUCGGUGUGGGAUGAGCUCGCGGCCUAUCAGCUUGUUGGUGGGGUAAUGGCCUACCAAGGCGUCGACGGGUAGCCGGCCUGAGAGGGUGUACGGCCACAUUGGGACUGAGAUACGGCCCAGACUCCUACGGGAGGCAGCAGUGGGGAAUAUUGCACAAUGGGCGCAAGCCUGAUGCAGCGACGCCGCGUGUGGGAUGACGGCCUUCGGGUUGUAAACUCCUUUCGCUAGGGACGAAGCGCAAGUGACGGUACCUGGAGAAGAAGCACCGGCUAACUACGUG